GAUGAACGCUGGCGGCGUGCUUAACACAUGCAAGUCGAGCGAAGCACUUUACUUUGAUUUCUUCGGAUUGAAGAGUGUUGUGACUGAGCGGCGGACGGGUGAGUAACGCGUGGGUAACCUGCCUCAUACAGGGGGAUAACAGUUAGAAAUGGCUGCUAAUACCGCAUAAGACCACGGUACCGCAUGGUACAGUGGUAAAAACUCCGGUGGUAUGAGAUGGACCCGCGUCUGAUUAGGGUAAGUUCGGUGAGGUAACGGCCCACCAAGCCGACGAUCAGUAGCCGACCUGAGAGGGUGACCGGCACAUUGGGACUGAGACACGGGCCCAAACUCCUACGGGAGGCAGCAGUGGGGAA
rnacentral:rRNA from 1 species